GGGGGCAUAGCUCAGUGGUACAGCAUUCGACUGCAGAUCGAGAGGUCCCCGGAUCAAAACCCGAUGCUCUCU
rnacentral:tRNA from 1 species